UGAUCUGGAGAGACGCCGUGAGAUGGACCAAAGGGCUUUGCUGAAGGCAGCACUUCCUGAAGGAAGCCGUGGCUCCGUGCCAGCCCCCGAUACACGAAGGGAGGAGAUGCCAGACAGUGCCACAGAAGACGUUAUCACUGAAACAGGAAUAUUUGCCCC